GGCGAACGGGUGAGUAACACGUGGGUAAUCUGCCCUGCACUCUGGGAUAAGCCUGGGAAACUGGGUCUAAUACUGGAUAUGACCUUUCUCCUUAUGGGGUUUGGUGGAAAGUUUUUCGGUGUAGGAUGAGCCCGCGGCCUAUCAGCUUGUUGGUGGGGUGAUGGCCUACCAAGGCGACGACGGGUAGCCGGCCUGAGAGGAUGAUCGGCCACAUUGGGACUGAGAUACGGCCCAG
rnacentral:rRNA from 1 species